AGUGAACGCUGGCGGUAGGCCUAACACAUGCAAGUCGAACGGCAGCACAGUAAGAGCUUGCUCUUACGGGUGGCGAGUGGCGGACGGGUGAGGAAUACAUCGGCAUCUACUUUUUCGUGGGGGAUAACGUAGGGAAACUUACGCUAAUACCGCAUACGACCUACGGGUGAAAGCAUGGGAUCUUCGGACCUUGCGCGAUUGAAUGAGCCGAUGGCGGAUUAGCUAGUUGGCGGGGUAAAGGCCCACCAAGGCGACGAUCCGUAGCUGGUCUGAGAGGAUGAUCAGCCACACUGGAACUGAGACACGGUCCAGACUCCUACGGGAGGCAGCAGUGGGGAAUAUUGGACAAUGGGCGCAAGCCUGAUCCAGCCAUACCGCGUGGGUGAAGAAGGCCUUCGGGUUGUAAAGCCCUUUUGUUGGGAAAGAAAAGCAGCAGGUUAAUACCCCGCUGUUCUGACGGUACCCAAAGAAUAAGCACCGGCUAACUUCGUG
rnacentral:rRNA from 1 species